GACGAAGGUGGCUAGCGUUAUUCGGAUUUACUGGGCAUAAAGCGCGCGUAGGCGGCCCGACAAGUCGGAGGUGAAAGCCUGCAGCUCAACUGCGGUGUGCCUCCGAAACUGUCGGGCUUGAGUGCAGGAGGGGUGAUUGGAACUCCAGGUGUAGCGGUGAAAUGCGUAGAUAUCUGGAGGAACACCAGAGGCGAAGGCGAAUCACUGGACUGCAACUGACGCUGAGGCGCGAAAGCUAGGGGAGCAAACAGG
rnacentral:rRNA from 1 species